rnacentral:rRNA from 1 species
UACGUAGGGGGCAAGCGUUGUCCGGAAUCAUUGGGCGUAAAGCGCGUGUAGGCGGCCAGAAAAGUCCGCUGUGAAAACUCGAGGCUCAACUUCGAGCUGUCAGUGGAAACUUUCUGGCUAGAGUCCGGAAGAGGAGAAUGGAAUUCCUGGUGUAGCGGUGAAAUGCGCAGAUAUCAGGAAGAACACCCGUGGCGAAGGCGGUUCUCUGGGACGGUACUGACGCUGAGACGCGAAAGCGUGGGGAGCAAACAGG